GGAAGGAUCAUUAUUGAAUAAAUGGUUGAUAGGCUGUUGCUGGCUUCUUUGGAGUAUGUGCACGCUUGUCAUUCUUAUAUUUCCACUUGUGCACUCUUUGUAGAUCCUGGAUGAAUAAUUAUCUGGUUUUCUUCCAAUAGAUUGAGGAUUGCCAAUUCUUUUAUUGAAAGAAUUGGCUUUACCUUGUGUAUCUAGGUUCUAUGUCACUCACAUACUCCUAUGAAUGAAUAGAGUGGAUUUAUUGGUCUAGUACCUAAAAUGUUGUAUACAACUUUCAGCAACGGAUCUCUUGGCUCUUGCAUCGAUGAAGAACGCAGCGAAAUGCGAUAAGUAAUGUGAAUUGCAGAAUUCAGUGAAUCAUCGAAUUUUUGAACGCAUCUUGCGCUCCUUGGUAUUCUGAGGAGCAUGCCUGUUUGAGUGUCAUUAAAUUCUCAACUACACUGACUUUUGUUAGUGCAGAUUGGACUUGGGGAAUUAUUUUGUUUUUGCAGGCUUUUGUCAACAAAAGUCAGCUUCCCUAAAAUUUAUUAGCAAGAGAGUUAUCUCAGUAGAACUGUCUACAGGUGUGAUAAUUUAUCUACGCCUUAGAUGUCUGCAUAGUUAAUCUGCUUCUAAUUUUAAUGUUCCACUUACAGAGGGGUAUUAAUUUGAUAUCUUGACCUCAAAUCAGGUAGGACUACCCGCUGAACUUAAGCAUAUCAAUAAGCGGAGGAAAAGAAACUAACAAGGAUUCCCCUAGUAACUGCGAGUGAAGCGGGAAAAGCUCAAAUUUAAAAUCUGGUGGCUCUGGUCAUCCGAGUUGUAAUCUAAAGAAGUGUUACCCGUGCUGGACCAUGUACAAGUCUCCUGGAAUGGAGCAUCACAGAGGGUGAGAAUCCCGUCUUUGACAUGGACUGCCAGUGCUUUUGUGGUAUGCUCUCAAAGAGUCGAGUUGUUUGGGAAUGCAGCUCAAAAUGGGUGGUAAAUGCCAUCUAAAGCUAAAUAUUGGCAAGAGACCGAUAGUGAACAAGUACCGUGAGGGAAAGAUGAAAAGAACUUUGGAAAGAGAGUUAAACAGUACGUGAAAUUGCUGAAAGGGAAACGCUUAAAGUCAGUCAUGUCGACUUGAAAUCAAUCCUGCUUUUGCUGGAUGUAUUUUCUUGUUAACAGGUCAGCAUCAAUUUUGACCAGUGGACAAAGUUGUUGGGAAUGUGGCAUCUUUGGAUGUGUUAUAGCCUGAUAAUUCAUACAUUGGUUGGAAUUGAGGAACUCAGCAUGCUGCAAGGCCGGGUUUCGACCACGUUCAUGCUUAGGAUGCUGGCAUAAUGGCUUUAAUCGACCCGUCUUGAAACACGGACCAAGGAGUCUAACAUGCCUGCGAGUGUUUGGGUGGAAAACCCAUGCGCGUAAUGAAAGUGAAAGUUUGAGAUCCCUUUGGGGAGCAUUGACACCCAGACCAGACCUUUUGUGAUGGAUCUGCGGUAGAGCAUGUAUGUUGGGACCCGAAAGAUGGUGAACUAUGCCUGAAUAGGGUGAAGCCAGAGGAAACUCUGGUGGAGGCUCGUAGCGAUUCUGACGUGCAAAUCGAUCGUCAAAUUUGGGUAUAGGGGCGAAAGACUAAUCGAACCAUCUAGUAGCUGGUUCCUGC
rnacentral:misc_RNA from 1 species